AUGCUCGCUUCUGCAGCACAUAUACUAAAAAACUAGAACAAUACAGAGAAGAUUAGCAUGGCCCCAUGACACGCAAAUUUGUGAAGCAUUACAUAUUUUU
rnacentral:snRNA from 1 species